GACGAACGCUGGCGGCGUGCCUAAUACAUGCAAGUAGAACGCUGAAGAGAGGAGCUUGCUCUUCUUGGAUGAGUUGCGAACGGGUGAGUAACGCGUAGGUAACCUGCCUUGUAGCGGGGGAUAACUAUUGGAAACGAUAGCUAAUACCGCAUAACAAUGGAUGACACAUGUCAUUUAUUUGAAAGGGGCAAUUGCUCCACUACAAGAUGGACCUGCGUUGUAUUAGCUAGUAGGUGAGGUAACGGCUCACCUAGGCGACGAUACAUAGCCGACCUGAGAGGGUGAUCGGCCACACUGGGACUGAGACACGGCCCAGACUCCUACGGGAGGCAGCAGUAGGGAAUCUUCGGCAAUGGGGGCAACCCUGACCGAGCAACGCCGCGUGAGUGAAGAAGGUUUUCGGAUCGUAAAGCUCUGUUGUAAGUCAAGAACGAGUGUGAGAGUGGAAAGUUCACACUGUGACGGUAGCUUACCAGAAAGGGACGGCUAACUACGUGCCAGCAGCCGCGGUAAUACGUAGGUCCCGAGCGUUGUCCGGAUUUAUUGGGCGUAAAGCGAGCGCAGGCGGUUUGAUAAGUCUGAAGUUAAAGGCUGUGGCUCAACCAUAGUUCGCUUUGGAAACUGUCAAACUUGAGUGCAGAAGGGGAGAGUGGAAUUCCAUGUGUAGCGGUGAAAUGCGUAGAUAUAUGGAGGAACACCGGUGGCGAAAGCGGCUCUCUGGUCUGUAACUGACGCUGAGGCUCGAAAGCGUGGGGAGCGAACAGGAUUAGAUACCCUGGUAGUCCACGCCGUAAACGAUGAGUGCUAGGUGUUGGAUCCUUUCCGGGAUUCAGUGCCGCAGCUAACGCAUUAAGCACUCCGCCUGGGGAGUACGACCGCAAGGUUGAAACUCAAAGGAAUUGACGGGGGCCCGCACAAGCGGUGGAGCAUGUGGUUUAAUUCGAAGCAACGCGAAGAACCUUACCAGGUCUUGACAUCCCGAUGCUAUUUCUAGAGAUAGAAAGUUACUUCGGUACAUCGGUGACAGGUGGUGCAUGGUUGUCGUCAGCUCGUGUCGUGAGAUGUUGGGUUAAGUCCCGCAACGAGCGCAACCCCUAUUGUUAGUUGCCAUCAUUCAGUUGGGCACUCUAGCGAGACUGCCGGUAAUAAACCGGAGGAAGGUGGGGAUGACGUCAAAUCAUCAUGCCCCUUAUGACCUGGGCUACACACGUGCUACAAUGGUUGGUACAACGAGUUGCGAGUCGGUGACGGCAAGCUAAUCUCUUAAAGCCAAUCUCAGUUCGGAUUGUAGGCUGCAACUCGCCUACAUGAAGUCGGAAUCGCUAGUAAUCGCGGAUCAACACGCCGCGGUGAAUACGUUCCCGGGCCU
rnacentral:rRNA from 1 species